rnacentral:ribozyme from 1 species
GAAAGAAAGAAAAGAAAAAGAAGAGAGGGAAAAGGAAAACCCAGCGUAUCGUAUUUUUCUGCACAAAAAACCUGAGAAUGUCUCUUUGUUCGACUUUUUCGACUGUUU